rnacentral:rRNA from 1 species
UAAAGUUGUUGCGGUUAAAAAGCUCGUAGUCGGAGGUGUGUCUCGGACGGUCGGUUCGCCGCUUGUCGGUGCUCAACUGGCCGGUCCGGACGUCCUGCCGGUGGGGCCGCGAGGCUCCGUCAUCCUUCUUUGGUCCUCUUCACCGAGUGCCUUGGUGGGCCGGCACGUUUACUUUGAACAAAUUAGAGUGCUCAAAGCAGGCCGUUGGUCGCCUGAAUACUGUGUGCAUGGAAUAAUGGAAUAGGACCUCGGUUCCAUUUUGUUGGUUUUCAGAACUCGAGGUAAUGAUUAAUAGGGACGGACGGGGGCAUUCGUAUUGCGACGUUAGAGGUGAAAUUCUUGGAUCGUCGCAAGACGAACCGAUGCGAAAGCAUUUGCCAAGAACGUUUUCGUUGAUCAAGAACGAAAGUUAGAGGUUCGAAGGCGAUCAGAUACCGCCCUAGUUCUAACCAUAAACGAUGCCAGCUAGCCAUCCGCCGAAGUUCCUUCUAUGACUCGGCGGGCAGCUUCCGGGAAACCAAAGCUCUUGGGUUCCGGGGGAAGUAUGGUUGCAAAGCUCANACUUAAAGGAAU